UUUAAUUCAGAUUGUGGAUAGUUUGUAGUCCUUUGAUUUUGCAAAUGAAAUUAAAAUGCCUUUGUUUAGAUGUUAGGAUUAAGUAUAGUAGUGCUCUCUCCAUUGUGUCUUAAUUUUUUUUUAACUCACUUGUGGCAGGUCUUUAUUGAAUAAAGGAGGAAUAAACCUAGACAGGGAGUUAGAAAUGAAAGACAUUUCAAGACAGUUCAAGGGUUAUGUUGGUGACACUUCUUGUCUUCCAGACAGUUUUGAAAGCACAGAUCUUGCCUCUUGUGCUUGUUAAAAAAUCUGUGAUACUUCUCUGAAGAUUUUAUAAUUAAAUAAGUGAACCAUUACCCUGGCCUUUUAUAAAAGUGCUGCCCUAUUUGAAGUAUUGGGUUUUUUCUCAUGAUGAGCUUUGUUAGACUUGGUACUGAAAAAAUCAGUAGUUUUUUUCCUUCUAUUUUAAAGGCAAAGAAAUACUUGCUUCAGCUAGGCAUGGUGGCUCAUGCCUGUAAUUGGGAGGCUGAGGUGGGUGGAUCACCUGACGUCAGGAAUUGGAGACCAGCCUGGCCAACAUGGUGAAACCCCAUCUCUACUAAAAAUACAAAAAGUUAGCCAGGCGUGAUAGCGGGUGCCUGUAAUCCCAGCUGCUCGGGAGGCUGAAGCAAGAGAAUUGUUUGAACCUGGGAGUGGGAGGUUGCAGUGAGCCGAGGUCGUGCCAUUGCACUCCAGCCUGGCCAACAAGAGCGAGACUCUGUCUAAAAAAAAAGAAAUACUUGCUUUCUAUGUAGUUUUUUAACUUAGGUCAGUGCCAUAGGACUGACCAAAUCAUAAAUUAAGGAUGCUGUUGGUAUUCAAAAGUUUUUACUCAUUACCCUUACUCAGUUUGCAGCUGCAAUGAUCUGUACUUAACCUGCUUUUACAUAUUAUGCUUCCUUGACAAUGGGAGGAAUUUUAAUGGUUAACUUGCAGAAUAUGACAGAUACUUGUCUUAAUAUCAUUCUUCCUACCAUAAUCUAAUUCAAAACUAUCCAGUAGAACUUUCUGAAAUGAUUGGAAUGUUUUUUAUCUGUGCUGUCCAGUGUGGAAGCCAGUAGCCACAUGUGGCUGUUGAGCACUUGCAGUGUCACUAAUGCGUUUGAGGGACUGAAUUGUUAAUUUUUAAAAAUGUAUUGAUUUUAAUUAAGUUUAACAUUGUUUUGGACAGCACAGAUUAGCCUUUUAGAGUACCUUCUUGCUGAGUACUAGCAGUGUAUAGGUUUCCCCAUGAAAAGGACCUACAUUUUUGUUGGUUAAGAGGUUAUUAAAUGUGCUUUGCCAAAGAUAUUACCUUGUCAUUUCUUCCAGCUUAUUAGUUCCGUGGGUUUCUUGGAGUACUGUUAAAUCCUUUUUACAGAUAUAUAUAUACACAACUACUGAAGAGACUGUUUAUUUGGGGAGUUAUUCACUUUUAUAUUUAAGUCUUAGGCUUAAUAUGAUAAAAUAUCUCUCAGUUGCUGUGAAUAAUGGUCUAUAGAAGCUGUUCAUUGAGAAAAUGAUUAUUCUCGAGUUUCUGUUGAUUUUAAACCUUUUUUUGUCUGUCUCUUUCACUAGACUGUAAGCUUCUUCAGAUCAGGGGACAUGUCUUGACAGUCUUUGUAUUCCUGUUGUUUAGCAUAGUACUGGCACAUCAUAGGUGUGCAAGAUAAGAAAAUGAGAUUGGAAGAAUUUAUGCUACUUGCUGCGCCUAACAAAUGUGGAUGUCUGUAUUAUACUGAUACUAUAUUUUCAAUAGUUAGCAAAGAAGGCCAUUUAAUAUUUUAAUACUGAAAAGCAGAAUUGUGCUCAUUUUAUUCAAUACUUAUCAUAUACCAUACACUAGAUAGUAGGUGGAUGUAAAGAUGCAGUUCCUGCUCUCAAAGAGGAUUAUGACCUAGAAAAGGUUACAGAUUGGAUUGAGAUAACUUUAUAGGCCUGAACAAUACAGAAAAGAUUUCUAAAUCAUUGAAGACUUCAGGGAGGAAAAGAGAUUGAAUGCGUCUGUCAUUUUUAUCAUUCCCGUUACUUUGAACAAUAGUGUAUGUAAGUGCAAAAAAAAAGAAAAAGUUGCUGAUCAUUGUGGUGAGAGGAAUGUAAAAUAUGAGUAUUUUUCUUGCUGCUAGGUUUAGUUAUAUUGUGCUGCUUAUUCUUAAUUCUAGUCCUAACAAAUUUGAUUUCAAAAGCACAUCUGUGGUCAACCAACUUCAUUGUUAAUAUUUGUUUUAUUCAUAUUAAGUGACAAUGUAAGAAUAUUCAUGUUAAGUGGUACUGCAGAUUUUAUAAAAAGGAGAGGAUCCAAAAAUAAAAAAGUAUUUUGCUGAUUUCCAACUCCCAUCCCUCUUUUUCAGGAACUGCAAGCACAUGUUGACCAGAUAACUGAAAUGGCAGCAGUAAUGAGGAAAGCCAUUGAAAUUGACGAGCAACAGGGUUGCAAGGAACAAGAACGAAUAUUUCAACUUGAACAAGAAAACAAAGGCUUGAGAGAGAUCCUUCAAAUAACUCGAGAAUCAUUUUUGAACCUAAGGAAAGAUGAUGCGUCGGAAAGUACUUCUUUGUCAGCAUUAGUGACCAACAGUGAUUUGAGUCUGAGGAAGAGCUGAAGAGUUUCUGAGUCUGUGAGCUUCUUACAUGGCUCCAAAUGGUCAGAUAAGUGAAUGAAUGAAUGGACAGAAAAUUCAAUCCUUAAUUUUUUUCUCUGUAAAUAUGUACAGUGCACGGGCUAUGAGAUAGCAACAAAAAAUGCAUAGUAAAUGGUCAUAGACUUUAUUCCAAAACAUAAUUGGAAAAUAGAAACUGAGCCAUUGCCAAAUGGUAAAGAAAUGAAAAGUUUUCACAGUGACUACUGAAUAUACCAAGAGCUUUUGGCAGUACUGCUGGCUUUCUGGGUGAUUAAUUAGGUAAACUUGAAUAUUCCCAAUAAAUGUUUGAGAAUGCAUAAAAUUAUACC
rnacentral:sRNA from 1 species